UAACCCUAAACCCUAAAACCCUAAA
rnacentral:siRNA from 1 species